CCAGGAGUUUGAGACCAGCCUGGCCAACUAACAUGGCGAAAACCUGUGUAUACUAAAAAUACAAAAAAUUACCUGGGUGUGGUGACAGAGGCCUGUAGUCCCAGCUACUUGGAAGGCUGAGGCAGGAGAAUUGCUUGAACUCGGGAGACAGAACCGGAAGUGCAGGGAGCUGGGAUUGCACCACUGCACCCUAGCCUGGGUGAGAGAACAAGACUCCAACAAAAAAAAAAACCCACCUGAAACUGAUGGAUUCAGAGAGUGAUCUGAAAAAUUGAUUUGAUGCCCAAACCCAUGAUCUUUUUUUACACUCCACAAACUUUAUUAAGAAAGGUGCUGAUUGUAUUGUUAGAUACAGUCUCAACAUACGCCUCUCCAGUCAGUAUCUAAAAAAUUAUUCCUGCUUCCCCACAGCUUCACAACUCACCUUGGUGCAUCUCUGUCCCACACGGGAUUCAGAAGUCUAAUCAGGAAUGUAAUUAGGAACAUGAUGCAGAUGGGCAAGGCCUGUCCCUUCCUUCUUCAGCUGCUGUGUGGUGCCAGGGGGAUGUGGCCGCACCAGUGAGGACAGACUGGAAGCAAAAGGGCCUGAGCCGAACUAGUGCACAGAUAAGCUGUGCUCUCUGGAAACCACAGCAGACAGCCAUAAAACAGAGAAAACAGGUCCUGCAAACCUACCAACGCCCGGCUUAUCGCACGCGAGAUUUAUAAGUGGAGACCUGGAAGGCACAGCUACCCUGCUUCAGGGAAACGCAAACACAGAAUAAGUAAUUAGCCUGCCUCGGGCUUUCCUCUGGAGAAAGCUUGAGAAUGGGAAGCAUCACUUAGAGACCUCUAAGAUAAGUUCAUUUAAAAUUUGGG
rnacentral:lncRNA from 13 species